UACAGAGGGUGCAAGCGUUAAUCGGAAUUACUGGGCGUAAAGCGUGCGUAGACGGUUAUUUAAGUCAGGUGUGAAAGCCCCGGGCUCAACCUGGGAAUUGCAUUGAGACUGAAUAGCUAGGGUGCGGAAGAGGGAAGCGGAAUUUCCGGUGUAGCGGUGAAAUGCGUAGAUAUCGGAAGGAACACCAGUGGCGAAAGCGGCUCCUGGUCCAGCACCGACGUCAGGCACGAAAGCGUGGGGAGCAAACAGG
rnacentral:rRNA from 1 species